AAUAGAUACCCAGGUAGUCCACGCCGUAAACGAUGAGUGCUAAGUGUUAGAGGGUUUCCGCCCUUUAGUGCUGCAGCUAACGCAUUAAGCACUCCGCCUGGGGAGUACGGUCGCAAGACUGAAACUCAAAGGAAUUGACGGGGGCCCGCACAAGCGGUGGAGCAUGUGGUUUAAUUCGAAGCAACGCGAAGAACCUUACCAGGUCUUGACAUCCCACUGACCGGUAUAGAGAUAUACCUUUCCCUUCGGGGACAGUGGUGACAGGUGGUGCAUGGUUGUCGUCAGCUCGUGUCGUGAGAUGUUGGGUUAAGUCCCGCAACGAGCGCAACCCUUGAUCUUAGUUGCCAGCAUUUAGUUGGGCACUCUAAGGUGACUGCCGGUGACAAACCGGAGGAAGGUGGGGAGUGACGUCAAAUCAUCAUGCCCCUUAUGACCUGGGCUACACACGUGCUACAAUGGAUGGUACAAAGGGCUGCAAGACUGCGAAGUCAAGCCAAUCCCAUAAAACCAUUCUCAGUUCGGAUUGCAGG
rnacentral:rRNA from 1 species